rnacentral:rRNA from 1 species
UACGGAGGGUGCAAGCGUUAUCCGGAUUUACUGGGCUUAAAGGGUGCGUAGGUGGGUCUGUAAGUCAGUGGUGAAAUCUUCGAGCUUAACUCGGAAACUGCCAUUGAUACUAUAGGUCUUGAAUUAUCUGGAGGUGAGCGGAAUAUGUCAUGUAGCGGUGAAAUGCUUAGAUAUGACAUAGAACACCAAUUGCGAAGGCAGCUCACUACGGAUUUAUUGACACUGAGGCACGAAAGCGUGGGGAUCAAACAGG